rnacentral:tRNA from 1 species
GGAACAGUACCCAAGAGGCUGAAGGGGAUACGUUGGAAACGUAUUAGGAGAGGCAACUCUCGCGCAGGUUCAAAUCCUGUCUGUUCCGCCA